rnacentral:rRNA from 1 species
ACUCCUACGGGAGGCAGCAGUGGGGAAUCUUGGACAAUGGGCGCAAGCCUGAUCCAGCCAUGCCGCGUGAGUGAUGAAGGCCCUAGGGUCGUAAAGCUCUUUCGCCAGGGAUGAUAAUGACAGUACCUGGUAAAGAAACCCCGGCUAACUCCGUGCCAGCAGCCGCGGUAAUACGGAGGGGUUAGCGUUGUUCGGAAUUACUGGGGCGUAAAGCGCGCGUAGGCGGACUGGAAAGUUGGGGGUGAAAUCCCGGGGGCUCAACCUCGGAACUGCCUCCAAAACUCCCAGUCUUGAGUUCGAGAGAGGUGAGUGGAAUUCCGAGUGUAGAGGUGAAAUUCGUAGAUAUUCGGAGGAACACCAGUGGCGAAGGCGGCUCACUGGCUCGAUACUGACGCUGAGGUGCGAAAGUGU